UCUAUUAGUUGCUUAUUACAAUUCAUUUUUUCUAUUUCUGGUAGCACAUUAGGCACCUGGCAGAGUCGAUGUUAUUGUCAAGUUGGAGUUACAUUUCCUUGGACAAGAACUAAUGAGAUCUUGUUUUUCAUCCUUCUUACAUACUGUUGUACUUGUUGAUGUGGUUGCAGAUAUUAUUUUGGAAUGUUUUCUAUGGAUCUUUGUAUCUCAUGUUUUGUUUAUUAUACUUUUUAUUGCCUCCUUGGAACAGGGUGAUCAUAGAUUACUCAACAAAAACAGGAAUGGGCAGAAGGAGCAAGCUUCCAAAGACCAUUGUUAUUCCUCUCUGUGUCACUAUUUCAUAAUAUUAGCCACAUGACAGUAUAUAUUUCUUGGUGACAAAAUCAUGUCAGCUAUGCAACCUAUUCAUCUCAAGAAACCGAUGGCUAUUUGCUAUCUCAUAGCACUUGCUUUUCUCUCUAUUCUAUUGUAAAAGCUGCUGAUUUAAUUUUAAUUGAUUUCUUGGCGCUUAAGAGCCUUACUGCAUUGGUAUAUACUUUACUUCACUGGAAUGGUUAUUUGUUAUGGUUCUUUG
rnacentral:lncRNA from 1 species